UGAUUAGGUGUUGAAUAAUGUUUGGUUAUGUUUGUUAGAUGUUUAUUCUGUCCUUAUUAGGUGUUGAGCUGUGUGUGGUUAUGUUUGUUAGAUGUUUAUUGUCUGGGCUGAUUAGGUGUUGAAUAAUGUUUGGUUAUGUUUGUUAGAUAUUUAUUCAGCCCUCAUUAGGUGCUGAACCAUGUGUGGUUAUAUAUGUAUUCAGCUUUUAUUAGGUGUUUAUUCUUUUAUAGUUAGCCUUAAUUACAGACUUAUUUUGUUAGCAUUAAAUACAAUUUGCUGUUUAUUGAACAUGGGUUAUAUUUUAAAUCAGUUAUAGUUUCAUAUUUGUCCAGCCACAAUUAAUUAUGUAUUAAUGUAAAUACCAAGCUAAUUACACCUUGUUUAAACUAGUUGUGACUUGUUGCUACUGAAGCAUAUUCGUUCAGUAGAACUGAAACAUUUUUGUCACAUGCACAUGUAUAUUUCUCACAUGGAAAUACAAAUAUAUUGUUAAAUUGUUUCUGUAUGGUAGUUAAUAGUAAAACAUCCAAAAGCUUGAAAUCUAACUUGCAUAUAGGCUUUUGAUAAAAGUGUUUUCCUGUUUAAGUGACUGGUAUUAGGUUUUUCUCUAUUCUUAAUUGAAACAAAAUUAAUCUAAUCUAGUCAAAAGCCGAAACUUUAUUAUAAUCCACCUGAGAAUAUUUAACUGACGUGCGAUUUCAGAUUACAUGCCUUUGCCAAAAUGGAACUCGUCAGGUAUUUUCUUUAGAAGAAGAAGAGUGGCUACUAACUUGUAUUAAAAGUCCUCAUUUUUUCCUACCCGGUGAAUACUGCAUACAGGAUUGGGAAUCUCAGGAUUUGGUUAUAGUCCAGGCUUACGUGCUGAGGGAAGGAAUAAUUUUUCUGCUUACGGCUGACCACCUGCUGUGCAUUUCUUUAGAUGGACAGACUUAUAGAGUGUACAAAACAACGGAAGCUCUACGUAGUUACGUUGUUUGUGUAGCUCUGAACGGGUGUUUAUUAGCCCUAGGAACGGAGAAAGGAAGUGUUCAUUUUUACAAAGUCAGACAGUCAGAGGAUAUUUUACAGUUAAACUUAAGUAAACCAGACUGUUCUGUAAACCUGAGUGAAGCAUCGAUCAUUGCAAUAAAUCUUUCUGUUGAU